UCGGCAGCAGGUUCGAGUCGAACGCAGUGAGACAACGGAGCCGCUUGCGGCGACGGCCCGCAGGGCGAGGCGAAGCCGAGUCAUCCUGCACGACCCACCA
rnacentral:sRNA from 1 species